rnacentral:rRNA from 1 species
CACGUAGGCACCAAGCGUUGUCCGGAUUUAUUGGGCGUAAAGAGCUCGUAGGCGGUUCAGUAAGUCAGGUGUGAAAACUUUGGGCUCAACCCAAAGCCUGCAUCUGAUACUGCUGUGACUUGAGUUCGGUAGGGGAGUGGGGAAUUCCUAGUGUAGCGGUGAAAUGCGCAGAUAUUAGGAGGAACACCGGUGGCGAAGGCGCCACUCUGGGCCGAAACUGACGCUGAGGAGCGAAAGCGUGGGUAGCAAACAGG